rnacentral:misc_RNA from 1 species
GAUGAAGAACGCAGCGAAAUGCGAUAAGUAAUGCGAAUUGCAGAAUUCCAGUGAGUCAUCGAAUCUUUGAACGCACAUUGCGCCCCUUGGUAUUCCAUGGGGCAUGCCUGUUCGAGCGUCAUUUUGUACCCUCAAGCACUGCUUGGUGUUGGGCGUUUGUCCUGCAGAGGACUCGCCUGAAAGCGAUUGGCGGCCAACGUAGUCGUGGCAGAGCGCAGCACAAUCUCGCGUCUCUCCCCUCUGCGUCGGCGUCCAUGAAGCCCACAAUCUCAACGUUUGACCUCGGAUCAGGUAGGGAUACCCGCUGAACUUAAGCAUAUCAAUAAGCGGAGGA